rnacentral:tRNA from 1 species
GCGCUGGUGGUUCAGGGGUUGAACUCUUGCUUUCCACGUGGGAGACCUGGGUUUGAUUCCUUGCCAAUGUC